rnacentral:rRNA from 1 species
UCACGUCCACUUCGUGGCCCCCACACAGUUGCUCCAUGCCUGUCUUCACCUCGUUUCGUGAGAUGUUGGUUUAAGUCCCGCAACGAGCUCAACCCACGUCCUUAGUUGCCAUCAUUCAGUUGGCCACUCUAGGGAGACUCCCGGUGAUAAGCCGCGAGGAAGGUGUGGAUGACGUCAAGUCCUCAUGGCCCUUACGGGAUGGGCUACACACGUGCUACAAUGGCGGUGACAGUGGUACNCAAAGGAGCGAUCUGGAGCAAAUCCCCAAAAGCCGUCUCAGUUCGGAUUGCACUCUGCACCUUGGGUNCAAAAAGCCGG